CUGUUACAGCUUUCUUCUCUUUCUCUUUCUUCCACUGCUAUCAGCUCCUUCAUGUUAUCACAAUGCCAUACUUUAAUCUCUUCCAGAUUUUGAAGGUUUGACAUCAAGCCCUGAGGGAACAACUUCUUCAUACUUGGACACUUCCAUAUUUGAAUUCUUUUGAGAAGAGAAAAAGAAUUGCUGUUAUAGCUUUCUUUUCCUUCUUCCCUUGAUAUCAACUCCUCCAUGUUAUCACAAAAGUUUACUUCAAUCUCUUCCAGAUUUUGAAGGUUUGACAUCAAGCCCUGAGGGAACAACUUCUUCAUACUUGGACACUUCCGUAUUUCAAUUCUUUUGAGAAGAGAAAAAGAAUUGCUGUUAUAGCUUUCUUUUCCUACUUCCAUUGAUAUCAGCUCCUCCAUGUUAUCACAACUGCUUAUAGAAAUGUCUUCUAGAUUUUGAAGGUUUGACAUCAAGCCUUGAGGGAACAACUUCUUCAUACUUGAACACUCCCAUAUUCGAAUGCUUUUGAGAAGAGAGAAGGUAACAUGCACUGGUGAUGAUGGUACUGCUAUUGGAAUAUCCCCAUUGUCAAACAGGAAGAGUAAAUCAUUCGAAUCAAUUGAUAUUUCCUCGAGGCUUUUAAAUACUGAAGGGGAGGAGGAAAAUGAAAGCAAUCGUUGUAAAUCAUCACAAUUCUCAAUUUCAAUGCUGCAGUUAAUAAAUCUCAGAUACUUGACAUCUUCUAGGUGAGAGAGGGGAAUGUCUCCUUCGCUGAUACUGCAAUUCCACAAACAAACCUUAAAAUUAUCUGCUAGCUCAUUAUCUUCGAAAAGCUCAUCUUCAUCUUCAAGAUCGAUUUCUCCUACAUGAAAACUCCAUCGCAUUAAAUCGGAUGAAGGUGUCCUAGUCGUGUGGACAUAGGUCUUAAGCUCACCAAUAUCAUGGAAGCAACAUUCCAAUUCUUGCAACAUGCUCAGCGAUGCUAUUUCCUUUGCUGCAACUGCGAAUGAAUUGCUAAGCAAGAGGACUUCCAAUUGGGAAAGCUUUGGUAAUAUACCAGGUGGCAACACUAUUUCUGUUCCUCGAAGAUUCAGAUACUUGAGAUUGGACAACAUUUCUAUUCCUUCAGGAAAUUCUUUAACUACAGAACCAUCAAGGUCCAACUUCUUCAAUGCGCUAAGCAGCGCUAAUGAUGGUACAUGACUUAACUUUUCACACCUCCCAAGUAAUAAUGAGCUUAGAUUAACCAAAUGAGAGAUGGAACUUGGCAAUUUUGUAAUAGAUGUCUCAGAAAGAUCAAGCACCUUGAGUCCACACAAUAGCUCGAAGAAAGAAUCUCCGAUUGAGAUCAAAAAACUGCCACGCAACAAAAUGCAUGAAAGAUUAGGACAGUUAGGUGAAUAACCAGAAGGAAUCUCUUUUAUCUCAUUAUAGAUCAGUGAAAUUCUCAUAAGAUCUUUUGACCAAUUCCCCCACUUUGGCAUUUUGAACAACUUUUCCCAAACUUGUGCAUCUGUACCCAUUAGUUGGAUGGCCACUUUCCUAACCAACCCAUGCAUACUCACCCAUCUGGAUCCAGAAUAAGUAUGGCCACCGUUAAACAAGCAAAGAUUUUCAAGUUUGUUGAGCAUGGUGUGGCCCUCAUCGAAUGCUUGUUUCCUGCUGCUUCUUUCUAUUACUCCCACAUCAAUCAAAAAAUCUAUCACUUCUUUGAUAUCUAAUGAUUCCAAUUUUUGAUCAGGUGGCACGAAUAAUACAAAAUAUAGGAAACACUGUUGCAAAGAUGGAUCAUUCAAACAAUCAUAGCUACGUUUCAAAUUGUCAAAUAUCUCUGAGUUCUCUUGCUUAGGUAUUCCUCUCGUUAAUUUGUGCAAUGCAUCCCUCCAUUCAUGUAUGUCAUCCUUCCGCUUCAUGUUUCUUGCCAUUAUUUCAAUCCCAAGUGGCAAGCCCUGGCAUUCUAAUACAAUCUCCCUUGCAAUCGGUUCCACAUUAGGCACUAAUUGGUGCCCCAGUUUCUGCAAAAAUAACUCCCAAGCUGCUCCAUAUCCAAGAGGCUCUACUUUGAUAUUCUUUUGGCAAUCCAUACUUCGACACACAUCUAAAGACCGAGUUGUAAUAACCAACUUGCAUCCAGGAAUUCCAAUCCUGUCAAAGGGAAUAUAAUUCCACACAUCAUCCAAAAAUAAAACAAAACUUUUAUUCUUGUUCAAUGCUUCGGACAAUUUGGCUGCUCGUAUAUCCUCAUUGUCCACACUUGAAAGGUCUAGAUCCACCAUUCUUGCAAUGGUGUUCUGUAGUCCAUAUAUACUAAAAUGUUCAGACACAUUAACCCAAUAAACGUGAUCAAAUGGGCUGGCAGCUGUCACAAGUUUGUUAUAAAUAUGUUUGGCUAACUCAGUUUUACCCACUCCUCCCAUCCCAUAAAUGCCAACCUUUGAGACAUUAUCAUCAUCCCUUAAACAAGAAUAGAUCUGCUUUAUAUGUGUCUCAAACUCUGCACCCUUCAACUUUGUUGUCAGCAACUCCUCUCCUUUGGACUCCACAAAUUGCAAAGGUUGUCCGACAUGGGUCUCUUCAUAAUUCCCCAUUCCAACUUCCCCCAGUUGUUCAAUUUCACGAACUUGCAUUUCCAUCAUGUCUUCAUCUCCUACUGGAUUCUCCACUUGGUGAUUUUGUUGCUCUGAAAUCAGAUUAUAUUCCUCAUUGGUGCUUGAACUUGGCACGGUUUUACGUUUCUUGUUUCGUCCACAGCUUGCUUCGUGAGCUCUUGCUUUGACAUGAGAAGGGACCUUAUCACAAAUUUGAAUGCCCUGCCCUUGAAUUCCAGCUAAAUGCAAUCUCAUCCUUGAAAUUGAAGGACCCCCCUCGAAUACUUCCUUGCAGAAUAUGCAUUUCAAAUCCUUUCCACUACUACCAGUCUUCUCAACAUACUGCCAAAACUCAUGUUUUGGUCUUCCCAUUUUUGCUUGUCCUACAUGAAUGUUUAAGUAAAAUAUUAUUCCAAAAAGAGAAAUCUGAAAGAGUCAAAUGCGAAGUUAGAAAAGGAAAACCAAAACAAUUUCAACGAAAAGAAAUAAAUAUAAGAAAUAUAUAUAUAUAUAUGAAGUACCUUGAGUGAGAAGAAUUUCUCCCAAAAGGCUUGCUUGAAUGAGAACAGGCAGGGAACGAUUGCAAACUUCCACUAACAGUGAUUAAUCAAAGACGUUCUGUUAAAUAUUAAUCAAAGAUGUUCUCAUUUCAAACACAAACUUAAAUCAGGCAUCAUCCAAUUGCUCAAGCCACCAACAAGCUAAACCAAGCAUAAUAUCAAGCUAAUGUUUCAUGAAAAGCACCACUAUGGUACAUGAAUAAACCAUUAAUCAAAUAAUAAUUAUAAUUAAAUUAUUUUUUUCUUUCAAAUUAUUUUUGAUGGCAUAAAUUCUAGUGGCGAUCUAAUCUACCAUGAAAAAAAUAUACUUACGAAUGUAAAUAAACUAAAUUAUUCAUAAUCUAUAUAAGACUUGAAUAGAUAAAAAGAUUUUUCUAGAACUCAACUUUUAGAUUCGUUUGCUAAACGAGCAGACUUAAAGUUAUUAGAGGAUAUAAAUUCUUGUGGAAAUCUACCAAACAAUUGAAGCAAUCUGCAGUUUAAAUUAAUCAAAAUAAGACUACACCUCUCGAUCUGAAAUAAACUAAAAAUAUAAUUUUUUUCAAGUCUUUAAGAGUCUUUGCAAUAAUAAUAAGAAGAAGAAGAAAGUAAAUCAAAAUCAUAUAAAACUCAAAAUAAGUACCUGGUUCAAUCGAGAUGAAUCUCGAAAAGAUAAUAACAAAUUUCCCUUCGAGUUUACAAGUGCAUCUGCAAUUAUAAAAAAAAAAUUUUAAAAAAAAAAACAAAAAGCAUAUAAAAGUCGCAAACUUCAAAUGAUAGUAACUAGAACAUAAAAUGUUUUUUCUCCUAUUAAAAAAAAAAACAUAGAACAUUAGAUACAGAUAGAGUAGCUGGUCCAAGCAAGAUGUUCCUCAAACAGAUAUAGACAAAGGGCAGAUGCCCAGAAAGUAAAAAUCAAAAUCAUACAAAAUCCCCAAACACAUAGAAUAUAUUAUUAUCGAUUGGAUUUGAUUUUUUAUUAAAAUUAAACUAAAUUAAAAUAAUUAAAAUUAAAAAGUAAAUUAAAUCAAAAUAAAUUAAAUGUUUAAAUUAAUUUAAUUAAUUUAAACCGAAUACAAGUCGUCUAUAGUUGAAUUUUUAUUGAUUAUAUAUUACAUAUCGCUUUAAUUAAAUAAUUUUUUUAUGAAAAUCAUGAAAAAGGAUAUAUAGAUAUAUAUAUUUAUAUAUAGUCAUAUAGGAAUUAUAAAGGUUGAAAAGAAAAAACAAAGACAAAAGAGAGGAGAAGAGAAGUUUGAUGAAGCCAAACCUUGGAUUGACUUUGUGCAUUGGAAAAGGUUUAUGUUUAGUUAGAGAUGAGAUUCGUUUACCCAUCUCUAUCACCUCUCAUUCUUUUGAAUCUUUUCUCUAUUUAAGGUUGAAAAUUGUCUAUUCUUGCUAAAGCUUCUUGGUUUUUUUUCAACCAUUUUUAAUAUAUACAAAUUCAUAUACCAUUUUAUUAUAGAAUGUAUUAAUUUUUAAGAUAAAAAUAUUGAGCGAAAAAUUCAUCAAAGCAUCUACAACGCCAAAUCAGAAAAAGGCAGUCUUAUUCAACAUCCAACACAUAGAUGCUAAGAAAAUAAAUAUCCAAACACUGAAAAGUUGCCAAUCAAUUUGGGGAAAAUCAAAUAACAUAAGGCAAAACUUUGAACAGAAUCAAGCGAAUUGACAAAAUUCUCUGAUGGUGAGGCAGAAGUUCUAAUUUGAAGAAAUAGUAAUGCAAUAAGGUUCUCAAGUGAAAUCAAUAGAUAACUGUAAAGCUCAAUCAGUUCUUAGUAACUGAAGCCCAGAGUUUCAAGAACCAAAAUGAUUGCUUAACUUUCCCAGGAACCAAACAAAAUCUAACACCAACGAUAUAGACAAAAGAAUCCAACAUAACUAUGUUCUUCAAAGAAAAGGUAGGUGCAACUGCAACCUUUCCUGUUUCACUAAUCAAAACUAAACAACUUUACAUCAAAGGAAAGAUCCCAAAAAGGGAACGAAAAAAAUGUAAUAUUUUGACAAUCACAAAGCUCAAAUUAGCAUCAAGAAAUGUGGGGAAAGAAAAAACAAACAUACCAUUGUGAAGAGGAUUCUCAGCUUUAAUUCUUACACUAAAGCAUGAACCCAUUAACAAAAAACUGAAAGUUCAAAGCUCAAAGCUCAGAGCUCUUCACUCUUCUCACCACCCCCCGCUGCCAAAGAUUAGAGAAGUACAGAAAACACAGCACACUCGACAAAAAACAAAGCAGAGUAGCUUGAGCCCAUGAACAAAGGAAGAAAAUUGAGUGUGAAACCGAUUUUUAUAAGUUGAGUUAGCUGUCACCCCACGACGGUGACUGACCAAUUCCACACUUUGACUGAAUUUUUUUAAAAAAAAAAUUAUAGAGAGAUAGUAGGCAGAUGGCUGGCUUUUUGGUGUUUUGUGGUUGUUUGGUUUCUGGGAAAGUUCUAUUUACUAGAGCUUCCUCAAGGACAAAGGGAAAUGGUUGACAAAUCCUUCAAUUAUUUAUUUUAUCUACAAGUGGAAAAUUAGAUCGAAAAGUCUUUAUGCAUAUGAAAACUAAUUUUCUGUAAGAUAUCUCCUGUGAAUAAAAUCUUGAUAAUGAUAUUUAUUUUAAUUCUUUGAGUUUAAUAUAAGAAAUUAACAGUUAAAUCUGCAUUUGUUUAUUACACUCAACCGUCAUUGUCUUUUUAUUAAUUAUAUUUUAAUACUUACACAAAAUUAUUCCAUGGAAAAUUAGAAAUACUAUUAAUUAAAAAACACGUUAAUAAUUGGCAUGUUUCUAUGCAGUGUAAUUAAAAUAAUUAUUAUUAAGAUUUUGGAGAAAAAAAUAAUUUAUCUAAAUCUUAUUUUGUCCAAUGAUUCAAUAAUUUAAAAAUUUUAAGAGAAAUAAAAAAAAAUUUGGUAAUUAAUUAUUUUAUUAUUAUUAUUAUUAUAAGUGGAACGUGAAUAAGAUGGGGGUAGCUUAAGCUUGUAAAGUCUAGCUGUGUGUUUGAUUGAUAUGUAAUCUACACAUAAAAUCAAAUCAAAUGCCAAUCCCAUGCUUCUUGUACUUUUCUUUUGUCUAUUACCUCCAUACCUACAUUUAUUUAUAUGCUUCACUCAAUUUUUGAAGAUUUUUUUUUUGUUUUUAUUGUAUUAUAUUUUAAAAAUAAUAUGUAUCCAUAUUAUUUAAAUAUAUAUAAAAGUCUAGGUGAAUGAAUAUUUUAUUAAUAAAAUAAAUAUUUGAAAGAUGUAAUAAUUUUAAUAUAAAAAUAAUAUUCUAAUUAUAGCAAAUUGAACUAAUUCUGAAUAAAUUUAGAUCAUUCUUGCUAUUAUUAGAUUAAAAAUAUCAACCCGUAAUUUUUAACAGAAUUGAAGUUUAAUCUAUAAUUUACUGUUAAUACUAUUGUUGCCCACUCAAAUAUUAUUAUUUUUUAAUGAAAAAUCUAUAUGCAUAUAUAAAAUAUAAUUUUUAACAAUAAAAUUACAAAAAAGAGUAAUAAAUUCCCCACAUCGGGAAACUGAGGUAAGCAAAUAGAUCAUGAAGAUAUUAAGAAAUAAGCCAGGGCGUGAGAGGGAAAGACUUUUUGUAGUAUUUUGGUGAUAUUUUUUUUUUUCUUACAAAAACAAUUAAAUUCAUUUUAGGUGAAUAAAGAGUCAACAGCAAGUGACAUUAUCUUCCUAUAGCGACCCAUCUAUUACAAUAAUUUUUUCUUUUAUAAUGAUGGCUAUUCUGAUUUAUUUCCAUAGAUUUAUUAGAGGAGAAAAUAUUUUUAAUAAAUAUUUAUUUUAUUUAUAAAUAUUAAAAUUUUUAUUUUAUUAAAAAUGAAAAAAAAUUAAAUCAAAUUAAGAGUAAUCAGAAGAUUGAUUUGAUUUAAAGUCGAAUUAAACUAAAUAAAUUGAAAAUUAAAAUUUUAAUAUUAUAAAAAUCAAAUUAAAUCAAUUUUCAGUAAAACUGAUUUGAACCGAAUUGAUCUCAUAUGGUUUAAUUAUUUAAAUUUUUAAUGAAUUUUUAUUUUUUACUUUAUUUUUAAUAUUUUAAAAUUUAAUUAAAAUAUUUUAAUUUUAAUAAUAUAUUUUUUAUAUUAUUAAAAAUAAUAUAUUAUCAUAACUAAUUAAUUUGAUUUAAUUUUUUUAUUAAAAUUGAAUCAAAUCAAAAUAAUUAAAAUUAAAAAUUAAAUUAAAUUAAAAUAAAUAAAAAAUUAAACUGAAUUUUUAAAUUAAUUUAAUUAAAUUAAUUUUUUUAAUUUAAUUAAAUUAAUUUUUUUAAUUUAAUUAAAUUAUUUUUUUAAUUUAAAUCGAAUACGAAUAAUAUAUUACGAUAUAUCUUUAAUUAAAGAAUUUUUUUACGAAAAUCAUGAAAAAGAUAUAUAUAUUUAUAUAGUCAUCGCAAUGCAUGUGUAAGCAAUUUGAAAAAACGAUGCAUAGGAAUUAUAAAGGUUGAAAAAGGAAAACAAAGACAAAAGAGAGGAGAAGAGAAGUUUGAUGAAGCCAAACCUUGGAUUUGACUUUGUGCAUUAGAAAGGUUUAUGUUUAGUUAGAGAUGAGAUUCAAUUACCCAUCUCUAUCACCUCUCAUUCUUUUGACUCUUUUCUCUAUUUAAUGUUGAAAAUUGUCUAUUCUUGCUAAAGCUUUUUGUUUUUUUUUCAACCAUUUUUAUUGUAUACAAAUUCAUAUACUAUUUUAUUAUAGAAUUUAUUAAUUUUUAAAAUAAAAAUAUUAAAUAAAAAAUUUAUUUUAUAUCAAUUAAAAUAUAUAAAAUUAAAUAGAUUCAUGUAUUCUUAGAAUAUUAACUUCAUAAUAUUUUAGAUGAAUUCAUAUAUCGAAAAUAAUAAUUAAAUUUAGAUUUGAGUUUUAAAUUUCACUAGAUAAUUUCAUAGGUAUUCUAAAAUCACAUGAAGAAUUUUCUUUUUUUCUUUUUAAUUAUUAACGAUCUAUUUAUUUCAUAAUAUAUAUUUUUAGAAAAAAUAUUUUUUACAAUUUAAUGCAUUUAAAAAAUUCAAUUAAUAACAAAUAUUUUUCUGGUAAAAAAAAUUUUAAGCCAUUUUCUUCACUAUGAGAUCAUUUAUUUUCUGUUGCUUAUUAAUUUUAAUUUAAAAAAUAAAAUUUAUCAAUAAAUUUGUACAUAGAGAUUUAUGAAUAUCUAAAUAUAUAAAAUUAUUUUUUUAAAAUAAUUUAUUUUUUAAAUAAAAAAAUUUUCAUUCAUUGAAUUUUCUGAAUGUCCAAACGCCAUAAAAUAUAAAAAAUAGUUUUUAUAAAAUAUUUUUUUUAAAUAAAUAAAAUUAUAAAUUAAAAUUAAAUGAUAAAAAAUAAGUUAUUUUAUUGAGAUAUAAUAGAAAAUUUAAUGUUGAUACAUUGCAUUACAACAUACCUCAUUAUACUGAUGAUAUUUCUUUUAUUUCUGAAUAAUUGACGGUUAAAUUAUAUGAAAUUAUAAUUUUAUAUUUUAAUUUUAAAUUUAAUGCUAUAAUUACACUCAAUACAUUAAAACGGUGAAUGUUAAAGGUGAGAUUUUAUUUUUUCCAAUUAGCUUAUGAAGAAUAAAUAAAUUAAUGCUAUUUAUAAAUGAAUUAUAAGUUAAAACUUUAGCAGUGUCGAAAUAAUUUAAAUUAUAAAAUUAUUUUGCAUAUCAAUAAGUUUACUUUGGUAAUUGUAGAGUUGACCCUAAAUUAUAAAGUGUAAAUUUUAGAUUGAAUUAAAAUGAAAUGAAAAAAAAAAAUCAGAAUGUAUUGAAUUUAAAACCAAUAUAAACCAUUUCUAAUGUUGGUUUUAAUUUUAUAUAAAACAUUUUAUUUUUGUAAUUUUGAUUAUUUGGCUUUAAUUAAAUUUAAAUUCAAUACAUUUUAAUUUUACUGUUAGGUUUCAAUAUCUAUAAUUUUAAAUUUAUUAGUUUAUAUUUUUCUAUAAAUAAUAAAUUAAAAAAAACACAAAAAAAUUUCAAAUCAAAAUUAUAAACACUUCUACUAUAAAAAUUAAUACAUUAUUUAUUAAAAAAUUAAUUGAAUAAAAUAUUGUGAUAGUUUUUUUUUUAAUUUAUUUUUUUUAAGUGUUAAAACUGAGUGAGUAGUGUAUUUUAUCUACUUAAUAGUGAUGUGAGUUGAAAAUUCUAAUGCUUUUUAUUGUGAUUAGAAAAUUUUAUUAGUUUGAUACUCAUAGACUCUCAUGCAAUUUACGCUUAAGCACAUUAAUCAAAUAUUAACUUAAUUAAUUUUAUUUAUUUAUAAAUAUAUAUAAAGUAAUUUAUAUUUAUUUAAAAGAGUUGCAUGACCUGUGGUUUAGCUUUUGCAGAAUCUCCAGACUUCCAGACGUGGUGAGGCGUGUUAUUACAUAUUUUGUAAUUUUGAGGUGAAUUUUAGUGCAUCAGUCUAUGAAUCCAUAUUUUUAAGAUCGGGUAUUUAAAUUGUUAUAUAAUUAAUUUAUUUAAAUUUUAUUAAUUAAUUUUUGAUUUAAAUUAUAAAAAUUAAAUAAAUUAAAUUAAUUUAAAAUUUUAAUUUAAUUUGAUUUUUACUUUCAAAAAUUUUAAUUAUUUCAUUCGAUUUAGUUUUAUUAAGAAAAAUUAAUAAAUUGAAUCGAUAUGUGAGUAAUCGUAUAUUAUUUUUUAAAAUUUAAAGGUUAAUAUAUAAUUUAACUUUUAUGGCUUCAUCUAGUGGUGAAACCCCUCUUUUCUAAUUGAUGGUCAUUUUGAUUAUUUUGGUUUGUUGUUUUUAUCUGAUAUUGGUGAACUGAAACAGUUUGGAGGUUUUGAUUUUGUUGGCCCUUUCCAGUCUAUCUUUGCAUAAUUGUUUUGUGCUGCAUGGGUUCUGGUUUGUGCCUAUAGUGUUCUACUUGUGGUAGUGAUCAUGAGUUUUGCAACAGCUCUUUGCUACUUGUAUUUAGGACCUUACAAUUGGUCGGUUCAGUUUCGAACUCAAUCAAAUUGAAAAAAUUAAAAAUUAAAUUAUAAAAAUAUUAAAAAUCAAAAAAACGGAUUACAAAAAUAUAACUGAAUCAAAUUGAAUUGAACUGAUAAAAAUCAAAUCGAUUCGAUUCGAUUACUUCAAACCGAAAUUUGUAGUUUUUUUUUAAUUUUUUACUUCUAAUUUCAAUAGAAUAAUUCAAUAAAUAUUUCAUAUAAAUUUAUCAAUAACUAUUGUGUGAAUACAUAAUGAUAAUAUUUAAAAAAUAUAUAUAAAUCCAUAUAAAAUUUAAAAGUACAUAUAAAAUUAGUGUUCCAAAUAAUAAAAGUACGUAUAAAAUCGGUUAUUCGAUUUAUCGUUAUUUAAUACGUUUAAAUUGAAUCGCACUGAAAAUUAAAUAAAUUAAAAAAUAUUAAUCGAAUCAAACCAAAUUGAAUAUUCUAAUUAACCGAACCAUUAAACCGAAAUUGAUCGAUUCAGUUCGAUUUUUCAAUUCAAACUGAUUUAUUCUCUCCCUACUUGUAUUUCGCUUUGUUUGGUGCAGACGGUUGACGAUGGCUAUGAACAGAAUUACGGUGCUUCAGUUGGUUGCAUGAUCAUAAUAAUGAGAAAGAUGCAAAUUAAAAGUAAAAAAAGAAAAAAAAAAUUGAUAUUUGUUCAAAUUAUUGAAAAUAUUAAAAUGAUUAAGUUAAUAAAAUUGAUAAUUACUGAACAAAUGUUAAUUAUUUUCACCAAUUGAUAAAUUCAACUUUUUUAAAUUGAAAUUUGGUGUUAAAAUUUUUGAAAGUUUUAUGAUUAAAAUGAUAAAACUCAAAGUUAUUUUGCUAAAAGAUAACUGAUAUGUAUAAAAAUCUAUAAUAUUAUGAAAAUGAAUAGAUUUUAAACUUUAAUUUUAAUUAUUUUAUUAUUAAUUAUUAAUAGUAACCACUAAAUUGAUGAGCAUGUGUUUACUUUAUGUAUUUAUAAUUUUUAUAUUUUAAUAUAUUUUUCAAAUUUGAGAUAUAACUCUAAAAAUGCUAAUGUCAUUCUCUUUAAAAAAAAUCCUCAAUUUUUCUUUGAUCCUCACAGGCUUCAAACUUAGAGCCACACCUUCAGAAUGUGGAUAUCUCAAGCUACUCCACCUGAUGAAACACCAUCUUUUAACUUGCUUUAUAUAUGUGCUGGUUUAAUUAUUGUACAAAAAUACCACCAGAAUAUAAUUUCAUUGCACAACUAUCUUUUGAUGAAGUACAUAUAUUAUACCCAAAAACUAGAAAACUCCACAAGUGCAACCUCGAAGGAACACAGGGAUAAGAGGAGUGUCUAUGGCCCAUAUAACCAUAUAAGCCGCACAUUACUCCGUUCCAUAUUUCCAAGACAUAAAAACCUCCAUAUCUUCAUCCUCGAAGGAACACAGGGGUAAGAGGACAAUCUUCUGUUCAAAAUCAAACAACUGCUCCCACCAAUCUUGGGGACAAAUAUGGAUAGCUUUAAGGGAAGGGAGAGGGAACAGCCAGCUUUGGUCAGGCAAGAAAAGAGAAAGUGCUAUCCUUUCAAGAUUUACACAAUUUACUACCUCAAUAUAUUCGAGAGAAUCGCAGACUAUUUCUUGACUGCAUAUGCUCUUCAGUUGUGGCAACUCUGCCAAUCCAACACUCCGUAAUUUUGGGAGUGUAAAGAUGAAAGUAGUGCCAUUACUGCUGUUAUAGCUUUCUUCUCUUUCUCUUUCUUCCAUUGCUAUCAGCUCCUUCAUGUUAUCACAAUGGCAUACUUCAAUCUCUUCCAGAUUUUGAAGGUUUGACAUCAAGCCCUGAGGGAACAACUUCUUCAUACUUGGACACUCCCGUAUUUUAAUUUUUUUGAGAGGAGAAAAUGAAUUGCUGUUAUAGCUUUCUUUUCCUUCUUCCAUUGAUAUCAGCUCCUCCAUGUUAUCACAAUCGUUUACUUCAAUCUCUUCCAGAUUUUGAAGGUUUGGCAUCAAGCCCCGAGGGAACAACUUCUUCAUACUUGGACACUGCCCUAUUUCAAUUCUUUUGAGAAGAGAAAAAGAAUUGCUGUUAUAGCUUUCUUUUCCUUCUUCCAUUGAUAUCAGCUCCUCCAUGUUAUCACAAUCGUAUACUUCAAUCUCUUCCAGAUUUUGAAGGUUUGGCAUCAAGCCCCGAGGGAACAACUUCUUCAUACUUGGACACUGCCCUAUUUCAAUUCUUUUGAGAAGAGAAAAGGUAACAUGCAGUGGUGAUGAUGGUACUGCUAUUGGAAUAUCCCCAUUGUCAAACAGGAAGUGUAAAUCAUUCGAAUCAAUUGAUAUUUCCUCGAGGCUUU
rnacentral:lncRNA from 1 species